UAGGGAAUCUUCCGCAAUGGGCGAAAGCCUGACGGAGCAACGCCGCGUGAGUGAUGAAGGUCUUCGGAUCGUAAAACUCUGUUAUUAGGGAAGAACAAAUGUGUAAGUAACUAUGCACGUCUUGACGGUACCUAAUCAGAAAGCCACGGCUAACUACGUGCCAGCAGCCGCGGUAAUACGUAGGUGGCAAGCGUUAUCCGGAAUUAUUGGGCGUAAAGCGCGCGUAGGCGGUUUUUUAAGUCUGAUGUGAAAGCCCACGGCUCAACCGUGGAGGGUCAUUGGAAACUGGAAAACUUGAGUGCCGAAGAGGAAAGUGGAAUUCCAUGUGUAGCGGUGAAAUGCGCAGAGAUAUGGAGGAACACCAGUGGCGAAGGCGACUUUCUGGUCUGUAACUGACGCUGAUGUGCGAAAGCGUGGGGAUCAAACAGG
rnacentral:rRNA from 1 species